UUAUUGUUCCCGUGGGGCAGUCGAGGAUGUCGGUGAAUUACGCGGCGGGGCUGUCGCCGUACGCGGACAAGGGCAAGUGCGGCCUUCCCGAGGGGUCCCCACGGAGUCUGGACCAUGGAGGAGCGAGGUCUGGCCCCCAAGUUCGACACCACCUUUGAGAGCGCGCGGCCCACGCAGACCCACAUGGCGCUGGUGCAGCUGGAGCGCGUGGGCCUCCUCCACUUCCUGGUCAGCCAGAACGUGGACGGGCUCCAUGUGCGCUCAGGCUUCCCCAGGGACAAACUGGCAGAGCUUCACGGGAACAUGUUUGUGGAAGAAUGUGCCAAGUGUAAGACGCAGUAUGUCCGGGACACAGUCGUGGGCACGAUGGGCCUGAAGGCCACGGGCCGGCUCUGCACCGUAGCUAAGGCAAGGGGGCUGCGGGCCUGCAGGGGAGAGCUGAGGGACACCAUCCUAGACUGGGAGGACUCCCUGCCCGACCGGGACCUGGCACUCGCCGAUGAGGCCAGCAGGUGUGACCCCCCCACCCCCAGGGAGCCCAUGGUGGGGCAGGGUGGGACGACGGCAGAAACACAGCCAGCUCCAGCACGGGACAGUGGCUGAGGCUCAGAGGCAGUCAGGGGAGGCUUCCUGGAGCAGAUGGGCCAGGCCAGGGGCUACACACACACACACACACACACACCCCACCUCAUGGCUCUGGGUGGGUGCUGUCCAAGGAAACCAAGGCUUCCGCCAGGUGUCUCCUCUAUCCAGUGCUGCCCAGCCAGGAGGUGACUGAGCCAGGGUCCCACCCUAGGCGUCCAAGCUCUUACCACACUGUGAUACUCCCCAGAAGUGUCUAAGGGCCCGCCCAGAUCAAUGACCCUGCCAACAGACAGCAGAGGAGGGCGGAGUGGGAUCCCAAAGGCUGACACGGGAGUGGGGCUGGCCUUGAGCACCCCAGUGAGCACAGAUGGCCUAGGUGUGAACCGGCCCCCAGGGCUGGCUCGGGAUGUUGGCAGGAGCAGGGCAUCAGGCUCAGCCCAUGCUCCCCGGCCCCAGGAACGCCGACCUGUCCAUCACGCUGGGCACAUCGCUGCAGAUCCGACCCAGCGGGAACCUGCCGCUGGCUACCAAGCGCCGGGGAGGCCGCCUGGUCAUCGUCAACCUGCAGCCCACCAAGCACGACCGCCAUGCUGACCUCCGCAUCCAUGGCUACGUUGACGAGGUCAUGACCCGGCUCAUGAAGCACCUGGGGCUGGAGAUCCCCGCCUGGGACGGCCCCCGUGUGCUGGAGAAGGCGCUGCCACCCCUGCCCCGUCCGCCCACCCCCAAGCUGGAGCCCAAGGAGGAAUCACCCACCCGGAUCAACGGCUCUAUCCCCGCCGGCCCCAAGCAGGAGCCCUGCGCCCAGCACAACGGCUCAGAG
rnacentral:sRNA from 1 species